ensembl:snRNA U4 U4 spliceosomal RNA
AGCUUUGCGCAGUGGCAGUGUCGUAGCCAAUGAGGUUUAUCCAAGGCGCGAUUAUUGCUAAUUGAAAAAAUUAUGAUAUGACCACAAUUAAGUGAGAUUUACUCCAGGGACACAAGGAUGGGUCAGUGUUCACAGGUCAAUCAGUGCAGUCUACCACAUUAACAAAAGGAAGGCUCAUAAUCAUAAUCAUAAUCAUGAUU